rnacentral:tRNA from 1 species
GCGGGAGUAGCUCAGGGGUAGAGCACAACCUUGCCAAGGUUGGGGCCGCGGGUUCGAAUCCCGUCUCCCGCUCCA